UUGAACGCUGGCGGCAGGCCUAACACAUGCAAGUCGAGCGGGGGUAGCAAUACCCUAGCGGCGAACGGGUGAGGAAUGCUUGGGAAUCUGCCUCGUAGUGGGGGAUAACGUUCCGAAAGGAACGCUAAUACCGCAUACGUCCUACGGGAGAAAGGGGGGGAUCUUCGGACCUCUCGCUAUGAGAUGAGCCCAAGCGGGAUUAGCUAGUUGGUGAGGUAAAGGCUCACCAAGGCGACGAUCCCUAGCUGGUCUGAGAGGAUGAUCAGCCACACUGGAACUGAGACACGGUCCAGACUCCUACGGGAGGCAGCAGUGGGGAAUAUUGGACAAUGGGGGAAACCCUGAUCCAGCCAUGCCGCGUGUGUGAAGAAGGCCUUCGGGUUGUAAAGCACUUUAAGCGAGGAGGAAGGGCUGAGGGUUAAUAACCUUCAGCAUUGACGUUACUCGCAGAAUAAGCACCGGCUAACUCUGU
rnacentral:rRNA from 1 species